AAUACGGCAAAAUAUAAUUUUAUUUUUACAAAUAAAUCAAUUAAUCGCAUUUCUACAAAUAAAUCAAUUAAUAAGAAAAACAAUAUAUAUUUCACAGAAACGUAUAUUUUGUCAUCACAAUUUUUUCGCAAAUAAAUAUUGAAGAAAAUAUAACAAUAUUUGAUAAUAUUUGCUAAAUUUUCGUUCUUAAUGUAACAUGACAAGAGAUGACAUAACAAACUACAGGUUUAAAAAUAAAACAAGAGAGUAUGCAAAGGAGGUAAGGGAUACUUGUCUCCCCUAAAUUUUGGCAAGGUGAAGGAAUUAAAUUAUAAAAAUCAUUUUUAUGACGAAAAGUUAAACGCUCGGUAGCAAAUGCGUGUCGCUCACGUUUUAUUUCCUAGAAGAAUUUAAAAAAUUAAAGACGAAAUACUUAAAAAAUUUGAACCAGCAGAAGUAUUAAAGCAAGAAGCUGAAACCUUUCCUCCUUUCCCAACUGAAAUCGUGGAUAUGCCCAUGAACAAGAGUAGAACAAAGAGGGUGCAGAGAAAGAAGACAGGUAAAAGGAAGCGAGACGAAGCGUGGAAAAAGAAAAACCUUUCACGAGUUUACUGGAAUGGGGAUAGGCUUCGGGAUCUCAGGGUUAGGAACAUAGCUCGAGAAAACUGUAAAGGGGAGAGAGAUGGAAGGAAAAAGAACAAGCGGAAAAGGAGCUAGCUCUACUCACUGUGUGAAAUCGAAGAAAAAUCGUAGGAGGGUUGGAGCAAAGGGAUGUGGGCGAACGAAGAGAGUCAGGAGGGCGAGACAAUGGGGAGGGAGCCUUCGGAGUAAGAAAGCUGAUCUCGAUUCCAGAGAGAUCGUCAAGAGACGCACAUAUCAAACAGAUCCGAAGAUGUAAUUGCAAAAAUAAAUAUUCAAAAAGUACUUAAAAAUACGAGACAACAACGUCUGCGCAAUUUGUAUAAGAAAAUAAUAAUGUUAAACUUAUUGUAAUCAGUAAACUUUCAGUAACUUAAUCUUCAUACGUCUUAGAGAGUGAUUCCUUGACAUUGUUUUUAUAUUAUACUUGAAAAUGUUUUAACUUUAAAUAGUGUUUAAAAGAUGUUGAACAUUUUAGUUUCAAAUGUUUUGUGUUUUAAAUCUAAAUGCGGUUAAAAAUUAAACAAAUUUAAGUAUGUAAAACAAGACGACAGAAAUAAAACAUUUUAAUAUAUCUUAAAAUUAAGUUCUAACUUCUUUCUAUAAUGAAAUUGAAUAUUAUAAAUCAACUUUUCGUCAUUGCUUACACAUAGACAUGUGUAUACAAAGCCUGUGCAUACAAAGAGAAGCAAUAAAAAGCAUUUCUUAAAUUUCCCUUUUCUCAUACCUCAGAUCUGAAAUAAGAAACAUAUAUCCGUUAUUGCGUAUGUUUGACAGCAGCAACAUUUCGCGCAACAAUAUUUUGCAAGGUAUUUUGAAAAUUUUCAAAAGUGACGCUUCACGCGCCGUUGAGGGACGGAUUCCUCAACUGACUGCUGGACAUCGCGCAUUCGCGGGUGCCGGUCGCUCGCACAAUCGCAAGUGACCGUGAAGAGGCACGACACUGUAAAAUAAGGCCGCGGCGUCCAUCUUUCUACUCGCGGUACCGCAAAGAAAACGGUGACCCGCCGUCAUCCGCUGUACGUGCGCGCGCGCGCGCGCUCAUGCAUUCUACCUUGUUAGUUUGGCUCCUCUUCGAGUUCGCUCCGGUUUCUUUUUCCCUCCUCGCGUGCCGAUUCACCUCGUAAUGCUUGAAAAAUAAUCCCCGGUCCGCGGACUCUCUCGAGGAACGCCGGCGCGGCGAUUGUUCCGUGACGGCGCGAUUAACGUACGCAGUCAAUUAUAUUGAUACGGUACAUGUCCGUCGGACGAUGUACCGGGCGACGCGCGUUUCGCGGUGUCGCGUCGUUUGUUUUCGAAUUAACCGACGGAAAUGGAUUUAAGGAUUUAGUUCGCCGUCUUCGAUCCCGGAUAAAAGGAAAUGUUCGGUAAAAGCGCGAAAAAAAAGACAUCUAACUUUCGAGUGUUAACAUCGAAAGAUUGAAGCGAGAUCCGUAAUCGCCAAUCUUAACUAACGUUUUGCCCUUUAAACGCAAGAUAUCGUUUCACCGUUUCUACGCAACAAUAUGAAAUAGUAGACCAAAAAUGCACGAACGUUUUAUUCGAUACGUGCAAGUAUCGAAUAAAGCUAAUGUCGCUAAGCUAAAUGUUGUUUCAGGAAAAAUAGCGCCUUCGGAAUAUCCAGGUACAUACAUGCAAAGUUCCAAUUAUAAAACAAGACGCGUCAAAGCGAUGAAAUGGUGGUUCUUGUCAUCUCACGUAACCUCCGAAAUCUCGUUUGCCACCCUGAUAUUUUCCUUAAAGGAACAUCGUUUAUUUGUGCCACGCAAAUAAACAUCUUCGCUCUAUACGCAUCUGAGGUCGGAGCUGCAUCAAUCUGCCUGGGAUGUUUCAUAUGGAUGUCAUUCGCGUACGCGAUUUUUCUCGAUCUGAAGGCAAUGCCGAACGCAUGGAUAAGCUGACGCGCGUGUGUGUUGAUCGAUGCGAAAGGUCACCAUGACCGUUGCACGCGUGAUCAAUCGGUGGAGAGAGAAGGGAGAGAAAAAACAGAAAGAGAGAGAGAGAGAGGGAGGGAGGUAGGUAGUCUCUCCCCCCUCUUUCCCCGAUGCUCGUUCUGGAUUCUGUCCGGACAGAUCGACGACACAGAUCGGCCUGUGUCACGCGCCUUCACCAAAUAUCCGCGGAGAUGCGGAGGGUCGAUUGGGCGCGGGUGGAAGAGAAUCUGUCCUACACGCCAGAUCCCAGCUGUAGAUUAUUCUCGGCGGUAGACACGCAGGAGUGCCCGUUUGUUCGUUCGUUCGUUCGUUCGGUAGGCCGUAUAGAAAUACACAUUCUAAUCAUAGAAAAUUCCUUUAACAGAGCAGAGUGAGACACCGGUGGCGAGGGAGGGCGGGAAUCCCAUGCAGUGGAGGAAGGCACGAGAGGAAGAGUUAACAGGGGAGAUAGGGAUGAACGGAGAAGGGCGCACCCCUACCAGAAAUUUCAGCGAGGAGUCAAGACUGGGAGAGGCCAGAGGGGGUAUUUAUAGCCACGUCUUCGUCGUCGUCGUCAUCAUCGUCGUCGUCGUCGUCGAUCGGUCGUCGAGGACGACGAUGACGACGAAGCUGUAAAUAUCAACCCCUCCAGCCUCUUCUUCUUCUUCUUCUUCUUCUAGUUUCUUUCUCCUCGCUGUCGUAAGUGAGAAAGAAAAAGAAAGAGAGAGAGAGAGAGAGAGAGAGAGAGAGAGAGAGAGAGAGAGAGAGACAGAAGGAGAGAGAAAAAGAGAAUCAUCCUCUUCCCGAUCUUAUCUUUCUCUUUUACUCAAUGCUCUUCCUCAUCUCACCUCCCGUCUCCGUUACUCUUCCUUCUCUCAUUCUUCGCCUUCUCGCUUGCUCGCUUUAAGGCGUCUUUCUUUCGCCCUCCGCGGCGCGUUCCGUUUCCCCCUUCCCCCCUCCUCCCACCCUCUGUCCGUCUCAUGUACAUCCUCCUUCUCUCUCCUUCUUCAUCUUCUUCGCCCUCCUUACCUCCGUAUGGCUCAUGCUCGUACGCCUCUAUUCUACAAUAUGUAUUUAAAAUAGCUGCAUGCUGCAAAAUAACUGAAAUAGCCGUGAAGGGUCGAUGAUCCCCGCGACUCCUAUUUCCUGGAAGAAGCCGCAUCACCACGGAUUUUCGACGUCGCUGACGGCCCUGUCGCCACCGCGCUCUCGCCACGUUCCUUCGAAACGCUAUUUGUCGUCCGCUUCACCUCGAGCUUGCGGCGCACCGUUGACCCGACAUUCGAUAUCGAGGUCGAACGUCCUCAUUGUCGUAACGGGCAUAAUAUACAGAAGGUCGCCUGUCGCAGGAGAAUGCGAUUACGCCGCUGUAACGGCGCACUCGAGCAAUGAGUAUCAAACGUGUUUUCAUAUUGAAAUUCCGGAUGGCCUAUAAAAUUAUUACAAUCAAUUGAACAAAAGUAAUAUAAAACUUAUCGCGAAAAUAAAAUUUUUUGCGAAUAAAAUAUCACGGCGAUACUCUCAGUCCCGAAUCAGUUUCAUACCUCUCGUUGUUCGGCAAUAACAUCACCUCUAUCGAGCAUCGAUGCUUGAUCGAUGCUUGUAAUUAAUUUCAAACACUCGUGUAAUUUUA